GACGAACGCUGGCGGCGUGCUUAACACAUGUAAGUCGAACGGAAAGGCCCUGCUUUUGUGGGGUGCUCGAGUGGCGAACGGGUGAGUAACACGUGAGUAACCUGCCCUUGACUUUGGGAUAACUUCAGGAAACUGGGGCUAAUACCGGAUAGGAGCUCCUGCUGCAUGGUGGGGGUUGGAAAGUUUCGGCGGUUGGGGAUGGACUCGCGGCUUAUCAGCCUGUUGGUGGGGUAGUGGCUUACCAAGGCUUUGACGGGUAGCCGGCCUGAGAGGGUGACCGGCCACAUUGGGACUGAGAUACGGCCCAGACUCCUACGGGAGGCAGCAGUGGGGAAUAUUGCACAAUGGGCGGAAGCCUGAUGCAGCAACGCCGCGUGCGGGAUGACGGCCUUCGGGUUGUAAACCGCUUUCGCCUGUGACGAAGCGUGAGUGACGGUAAUGGGUAAAGAAGCACCGGCUAACUACGUG
rnacentral:rRNA from 1 species